UACAGAGGGUGCGAGCGUUAAUCGGAAUUACUGGGCGUAAAGGGUGCGCAGGUGGCCGUGCGCGUGGGGAGUGAAAUCGCCUGGCUUAACUGGGCGGGGGCUUUCCAGACGGCGCGGCUUGAGCCACAGAGGGGGGCGUGGAAUUCCGGGUGGAGCGGUGAAAUGCGUAGAGAUCCGGAGGAACACCAAAGGCGAAGGCAGUGUCCUGGGGAGUACCUGACGCUCAGGUGCGAAAGCCAGGGGAGCGAACGGG
rnacentral:rRNA from 1 species